CCCGCGAGCGGCAGUGCGGGCGGCGGGGUGCUGACCUCUGCGGACGGAAGGAAGAAGGAAGGAAGGAAGGAGGGCUCCGGCAGCGCGGAGCUGCGGCGGCGCGCCCCGGGAGCGCAGCUCGGGCACGGGAGGAUGCGGGGCUCGGCCGCGGGAGCCAGAAGGAACCACCACUGCGGGAGGGGGGGAGACGAUCGCUGCCUUCAUUUAUUUAUUUAUUUUUAAUUUUUCUGAAGAGACUCCCAACUUUUUUUGGGGGAGGGGGCUGAUUUUCUUUUUGGGCUUUUUUUUUCCCCCCCUUCCCCCCCUCCUUUUUGCCUGUGAUUACUCUCAUCAUAGCCCACCUUCUCAUGGCUUGCCAGCACCCAUCCUUGGACUCUUAGCUCCCAGCCCAGCAGCCGUGAGGUACCACCUCUCCACCACCACCACCACCACCACCCCACCGCAGGCAGCAGGUGCCACCGGCCCCGCACCUCUCCGCACCCUGCAGGCCCGGCCCGGCGAGCUGGCGGGUGAGAUGGCAGCUGCCGGGCCCUGGCUGCACCGCUGCCAGCCUGCAUGACCCUGAGCUCAGGAUCCUACAUGAAGAAACACACGUGGAAGUAGUCCUGAAGACCUCAGAGAAAGCUGGCACUUUCGCAGUGGAAUACAACUCCGAAUCCCAAGAACACAUCCUGCAAAAUUACCAGUGAUUCAAGUCUCCGUUCAACCCUGGUUGCUCAGAACAGCAAGCAGCUGCAGAAGCCUGAAUAAGCACUUCUCUUGUCAGUGCCAUCAGAGCAGUGAGCUAUAACUGGCUUUAAGCCACUGCACAGGUCGAUGUGUAAAAUGCCUAAUUCUGUGAAGAAAAACAAACCUACCAACUUCCAUAGUAGGAAAAAAAAGAUUCUCUCUGUCUACCUGCUUCAGAGGUACUCAAGCACAGCUGCAACCAGAAAGUAGAUACCUAACUGCUUUAUAUAGCAAGCCUUUUUAGAUACUAGUCAAAACACACAUACAGGGAAACCUACACAAGGUUCAAAUCACUAAUACUGGAAAUACUUUUUAUUCUUGAAGUAAAAACUUUCAUAAGUAAGAAAAGAUUCAGGGAAAAAAAAACUGUAUGAUGCCUCACAUUCUACCACCUGUCAAACCAAACUAGUCUAAAUUCCAAUUUUGAUCUCUCUGUCAAAGAAAAAUCUUGUUCAUAUUCACCCACAGAAAAAUCUUCAGUACCCCUAGGAAGAGCUCUUUUUCCAUACAUUUUCCUUGCAUUUCAUAUUGAGAUAGUUUUUCAUGCAAACCAACUGUGACAAGAGCCUAAGGAAAGUAACACAGAAGUUAAAAAGAAUCCAACCCAGGUAACUGGAGACCACACACAGUAUUCCUGGUUAAUGCUGUUAAUGUAAACAUGGAGAGUUCAUGUUAAAUGAGUAAGUUACCCCUUUGUGAAACAACUGUCUUUGAAUGCCAAAAAUACACUCCCUGCACAACAUCCUCAAAACGUUCUCUUACAGACCUAUUUCAGGCACUGUGGAAAGCUGUAAAUACAGUUAUUGUUCCUAUCAACACUCCCAACCACAACUUUCAACUAUGUGAUUCCAUUCAUUUUACAUACGUAAACACUCAUAUUUACUUUUUGACCAUCAGCCUCGAUAGCUGUAUGCUAAGACACUCACCCACGUUAUUCGCACACAUAAUAUAUAUAACAUCCUUAUAAAUAACAUCCUUAUUCAUCUAGCUUCAUUCAACUGAAAAGCAGAAAAAUUUAGCAGUAAACAAGCAUACACAUUUCUUUCUUCAUGCAAAGACAAUUCUCCGCUAUGCAAUAUCACCCAAGUCCUGUUAUUAUAACAGCCUUCAAGAAAAUCACAUUAUCCAUAACAUAAUAAGCAACCAGCAAGUUCUCCCACAAAGUUCUACAAUCAUUUUUUCUGCAAACUAUCUUAACUGAGGAUUCAACACAGAUGCAUAGUAUGCAAUUGGCACAAAACAAAUUAUGCCUUAAAUUUAACUUCUUCAGAAUAACCUAUUACACAAAGAAGAAAUUCCUUCUACACAUGCUUUUGAGGAAACAAAAUCAUGUUUCUUUUAACAAAGGGGAUUGAACCCACCAAUCCUAUCACUUUAUAACCACACAGUAUCUUUAGAAAUUACUCUAUUUUUUUUAAAACCUCAAAUCCCUUCCCCAGUUCCAACGUUCAAGAAGAACAGAAGCAUUUUUACAAAUGCUUUAAGAUCCUACUUAACUUCUCACUGGUAAAAGCCUGUUUGCAAACUUCUACAGACUUCUACAGAGAUCCAGAGUUGCCUCAACACAGCACUGAAUGCAGCAGAUUAGUGAUUUCAUUCUACUUGUGGCCUACUCUACUACUAGAAAUAAUUCCUAUCUAAGCAAUAUCAAAAUUUAAGAAACAACUAUAUGCAGGCUCCUUUUAAGGACCUUUUAAAAGAAUACCACGAUUCCACAUUUCUAUGCACUUGUCUUUCACAAAUGAGAAAAUAUUUUUUAAAAACAAA